rnacentral:rRNA from 1 species
UACAGGGGGUGCAAGCGUUGUUCGGAAUUAUUGGGCGUAAAGCGCGUGUAGGCGGAUCGUUAAGUCUGGUGUGAAAUCCCUCGGCUCAACUGAGGACGUGCAUUGGAUACUGGCGACCUUGAGUCCUGGAGAGGGUAGCGGAAUUCCCAGUGUAGAGGUGAAAUUCGUAGAUAUUGGGAGGAACACCGGUGGCGAAGGCGGCGACCUGGGUAGAUACUGACGCUGAGGCGCGAAAGCGUGGGGAGCAAACAGG